rnacentral:rRNA from 1 species
AGAGUUUGAUCCUGGCUCAGGACGAACGCUGGCGGCGUGCUUAACACAUGCAAGUCGAACGGAAAGGCCCUUCGGGGUACUCGAGUGGCGAACGGGUGAGUAACACGUGGGUGAUCUGCCCUGCACUCUGGGAUAAGCCUGGGAAACUGGGUCUAAUACCGGAUAGGACCGCAUGCUUCAUGGUGUGUGGUGCAAAGCUUUUGCGGUGUGGGAUGAGCCCGCGGCCUAUCAGCUUGUUGGUGGGGUAAUGGCCUACCAAGGCGACGACGGGUAGCCGGCCUGAGAGGGUGACCGGCCACACUGGGACUGAGAUACGGCCCAGACUCCUACGGGAGGCAGCAGUGGGGAAUAUUGCACAAUGGGCGCAAGCCUGAUGCAGCGACGCCGCGUGAGGGAUGACAGCCUUCGGGUUGUAAACCUCUUUCAGUAGGGACGAAGCGAAAGUGACGGUACCUACAGAAGAAGGACCGGCCAACUACGUGCCAGCAGCCGCGGUAAUACGUAGGGUCCGAGCGUUGUCCGGAAUUACUGGGCGUAAAGAGCUCGUAGGUGGUUUGUCGCGUUGUUCGUGAAAACUCACAGCUUAACUGUGGGCGUGCGGGCGAUACGGGCAGACUAGAGUACUGCAGGGGAGACUGGAAUUCCUGGUGUAGCGGUGGAAUGCGCAGAUAUCAGGAGGAACACCGGUGGCGAAGGCGGGUCUCUGGGCAGUAACUGACGCUGAGGAGCGAAAGCGUGGGUAGCGAACAGGAUUAGAUACCCUGGUAGUC